rnacentral:rRNA from 1 species
GACGAACGCUGGCGGCGUGCCUAAUACAUGCAAGUCGAGCGAGCGGAACCAACAGAUUUACUUCGGUAAUGACGUUGGGAAAGCGAGCGGCGGAUGGGUGAGUAACACGUGGGGAACCUGCCCCUAAGUCUGGGAUACCAUUUGGAAACAGGUGCUAAUACCGGAUAAUAAAGCAGAUCGCAUGAUCAGCUUUUGAAGGCGGCGUAAGCUGUCGCUAAGGGAUCGGCCCCGCGGUGCAUUAGCUAGUUGGUAAGGUAACGGCUUACCAAGGCGACGAUGCAUAGCCGAGUUGAGAGACUGAUCGGCCACAUUGGGACUGAGACACGGCCCAA